rnacentral:rRNA from 1 species
CCUACGGGAGGCAGCAGUGAGGAAUAUUGGUCAAUGGGCGGGAGCCUGAACCAGCCAUGCCGCGUGAAGGCGAGUGCCCUACGGGCGUUAAACUUCUUUUGUGCGGGAGCAAUAAGGGCCACGUGUGGCCCGAUGAGAGUACCGCACGAAUAAGCAUCGGCUAACUCCGUGCCAGCAGCCGCGGUAAUACGGAGGAUGCGAGCGUUAUCCGGAUUUAUUGGGUUUAAAGGGUGCGCAGGCGGCCUGUUAAGUCAGCGGUAAAAGCCCGGGGCUCAACCCCGGCGAGCCGUUGAAACUGGCGGGCUGGAGUUGGAGAGAGGUACGCGGAAUGCGCGGUGUAGCGGUGAAAUGCUUAGAUAUCGCGCAGAACCCCGAUUGCGAAGGCAGCGUACCGGCUCCACACUGACGCUGAGGCACGAAAGCGUGGGUAUCGAACAGGAUUAGAUACCCCUGUAGUC